rnacentral:antisense_RNA from 1 species
CUUCAACGAGCCCAGCCACAACGGGCGAUCCCGGUCUUGUCCGAAUGUUGACAUCAGCGCCUGGGCCUC